rnacentral:tRNA from 1 species
GUUGAUAUAGCAUAAGAAGUACAUUUGUUUUAAGCGCAAAAGAUAUAAGUCAACU